rnacentral:lncRNA from 1 species
GGGAAUCGCCUCCAGGGCAAAGAUUUAAGGCUCAGAAAGGUGGAACACAGAAAACUUUCUGUUCCGUUGUGAAAAGGAAGGUUAUAUUAGAAUCUAAAUGAAACAGACAAGCCUGGGCUAUUUGGUAAGGCUAAAAAGACACACUGAGAACAGACACUGUGGAGAGAUUUGAGUUUGGUGAGAUUUUUAACCCCAAGGUCUGAUGCUACUGGAGACAGGAGAAUCCAUAUUUAAAUGGAAAAUUUAAUAUCUGAUUGCUUUUUCAGGCGAAGUGCCCCUUUAUAUAUCCAAAAACAUCUAUUUGUGACCUUAAACAUGUGGACCCAUAGGUGCAGUUAGAAAAAGACAACCUAUUUUUAUUUAUGUUAGAAGGAGUAGAGUAUUUUUUUCAGACAUUUAUUUUUCAGAGUGGUGAUAAUUUUACUUUGGAUACUCUGUGCCAAUUUAUUUAUAGUCAAGUGUUUACACUUUCUCCUUGUGGAAUAAUUAUGUCUAACUUUUUAAGGUGUUUGUUGAGAUUAUACUGUGGUCUUUCUUUUUGCUCUAAUUAUAUUGCACUUGUAUAACAAAUUUCCCACACCUCCCUGUUUCUAAACAUAUUUUAUAUAUUAAGAUGUUUGUUGGUUCUUUUAUUGUGAGAUCAGCAACUCUAGCACUUCACUAUUAUAGUUUUUUAAAAAGUAAGCAUUGUUAUCCUUAUCCGUAGUUAUGUCUGAAAAGUACAUUGCGAACCGUUUAAAAGGAGAGUAGCUUCUUUGUGUGUGUGUGCGCGUGUGAUGUUUGUGUGUGGGAUGGUUUUAGGAAAUUAAGUUAUUUUCCUAAAAAA